UACGAAGGGGGCUAGCGUUGCUCGGAAUCACUGGGCGUAAAGCGCGCGUAGGCGGCUUUCUAAGUCAGGGGUGAAAUCCUGGAGCUCAACUCCAGAACUGCCUUUGAUACUGGAAAGCUUGAGUUCGGGAGAGGUGAGUGGAACUGCGAGUGUAGAGGUGAAAUUCGUAGAUAUUCGCAAGAACACCAGUGGCGAAGGCGGCUCACUGGCCCGAUACUGACGCUGAGGUGCGAAAGCGUGGGGGAGCAAACAGG
rnacentral:rRNA from 1 species